UACCAGCACCCCGAGUGGUCGGGACGAUUAUUGGGCCUCAAGCAUCCGUAGCCGGCCUUACAAGUCCUCCGUUAAAUCCAGCUGCUUAACAGAUGGGCUGCGGAGGAUACUAUAAGACUAGGAGGCAGGAGAGGCAAGCGGUACUCAGUGGGUAGGGGUAAAAUCCGUUGAUCCAUUGAAGACCACCAGUGGCGAAGGCGGCUUGCCAGAAUGCGCUCGACGGUGAGGGAUGAAAGCUGGGGGAGCAAACCGG
rnacentral:rRNA from 1 species